ACCAAAAUUUUCUCCCUUUUCCCCUUUAUUCAUUUCCCCAUUUUCAGCCUCCCCUCAUCUUCCAUGAUCCCAUCCCCUUCAUAUUCUUCCUUCACCCUUCAAAUCAAAUGCCCAUUUAAUUGAGAUACCUUCAACCAUUAAUUAAAUUCACUUCUCAAUCCAUCUACCCUCUAACCGUUUUCAGCAAAUAAAGUGACAUUGAAACCAUGAAUUGAUUCAUACAAGGCGGAGUUGCGGUGGAGAUGAAGGUUGUUAGGAGGAGAGAGCCGUCUAAAGCGAUUACUAUGGGGAAAAGUGGGUCUGGUCAGCAGAGUUAUGGCAUUGGGGUUUUGACGAGGUUGCUGAGGUCUAAAGUUUCCGCCACCACCAUCGCAACUGGUGUUGGAGAUGGAUGUCUGAAUUUUGCAGAGCAUUGGAAUAGUGUCACUGCCUUGAGCCUUUGUGGGUGUGGCAUCACUGACAGAUCAUAUGGUUUUUACUGGCAACCAGAAUGGUCUGAAGGAAAGGGAAGUUUGGUUGUCAGGUAUGAAUAAUACAGCUGACACUCUUCUGGUAGAUGGUGCUUGGAAGAAGAAUAAGAAAACAGGAAAUGUUAGGACAACUGUUGGAUGGGUUCCCACAAUGCCUUGCAGUCUUAAUUAAGCUCUUGCUGUAUUGAAGGGUCUAAAACAUGCUAAGCAAAGAAGAAUUACAAAUAUUGUGUUAGGAGUUGAAGAAUGGAAGAGAUCAAAGCUCCAUGGUACUUAUUUGGAUUACACAACAACAGACAAUGGAAUCUAGAAUGAGCCGUCUCAAUGAAUUGAAGACAGAGAUGCUGACGCAAUUUGGAAGAUUUUUGUAUACUUUAAAAUUUCAUUGCAAAAGCAUACUUAUACUUUUGCGGCAUCUAGGUUAUAGAGAAAUGUGUAUACUAAACUAUUAAUGGUAGUGGGCUUUAGCCCACCCAAAUGCUUAAUAAAUACUCCGUAUUUUUUGGGGGUAAACAAAAUACAUGUAUUGGAAAAAUAUGAUCCACAUGCCUAUGAAGUAUUUACAUGAAGUACAUUCUUAUAAAUAGUCCG